ACCACUAAUGUGAUAAACUCACCGGCAAGUCUAGCUUGGCCAAUUUCUUCUACAAAUACAAAAGGUAAUAAAAUUUUUAAUUUUCUUAUUGUGCGAAUUUUUUUGGGUAAGCCAUUAUGCACUCUUUCUUGUUUAAAUCCAACUGUUGUUUCCUACAAAAUGUACUUUCUGCUUUGAGAAGGAUUGUACAUGAGAAGGUAGGCAUGCGAGUGCUGCAUAGGUCAGUCUGAAUUUUAAAUGUUUGUGAUAAUUGAACCCAUUUUUGGCUGGAACAUUUUGCUUAGUGUUUGAAAUGUGAUUACAUCACAGUUCAUGGCCUUGUUCUUGGUUUGAAAAGUUCAAGCACUUUAUGGCUAAAAAGAGUUUAUUAUGUUUGAGCAGUGCUGAUAUUAAUCAUUCUCAGAUGAUAUACAAUUGUUUAUAGUCUAGGCUCUUUUCCUUUUAUUCUUUCCUUUACUUUCCUAUGUCCUGAAACUAAGAAUUAUGUGUGUUCGCUUAGGGGUUGUUUGAUUUUAAUUGAAUUCUAUAAAAUUUUGUGGAAUUCAAUUAAAUUCCAUAUAUCAUGUGCUUGGUUUGUAAAAAUUUUAAAAUUGAAUUCUUGAAAUUGAAUUUCAUGGAAUUGGUCAUUCAUCUCUAAGAUAAUGGAUUAAUUGGGAUUGUUCUGUUUGGUAUUGCUUGAUGCAAUAUUGCAAGAGACCAGAUAUGCCUUCUUAUUUUUUGGUAAUUGGAAAUCUCUUUUCUCUUUUAAUAGUCAUUUUUCUAAUAGUUUCUUAAGGAUUUUGAAAUGAUAAUGGAGUAUAGCUAUUUCUGGGGCUCAGCAGUUCGAGUAUUACUUGUGAAUAUUUUGUAAAUAUUUUAAGAAGGAAAAGCAAUUGUAUCAAUCUUACCGUAUCAUUGGUUUUUGGCAUUAAAUAAACAUGUGCAAAGCUCAGGUAACCUGCUAGUUAUUUUUAUUGUUGUACCUAUACCUGUUUGAUUAAUUGCGAAUUUUACUGUGCAAUGUUCUGCCUCAUGCUGGUUUUCAUAUAGCUGUACCUUCUUUAUAAAACUCAUUAUCUUUAGCAUAGAUACUGAUCAUACAGUUGGGAGUAUGCUUACAGCCUUUCUUUUUUUAUUGCAUUGCCUAUCAAUAUUGUGAAAUGGCAACAGAGGGUGCUAAAAGCUUUGCAAGG
rnacentral:misc_RNA from 1 species